CCUACGGGGGGCAGCAGUGAGGAAUAUUGGUCAAUGGACGAGAGUCUGAACCAGCCAAGUAGCGUGAAGGAUGACUGCCCUAUGGGUUGUAAACUUCUUUUAUAGGGGAAUAAAAUGUGCCACGUGUGGGAUGUUGUAUGUACCAUAUGAAUAAGGAUCGGCUAACUCCGUGCCAGCAGCCGCGGUAAUACGGAGGAUCCGAGCGUUAUCCGGAUUUCUGGGGUUUAAAGGGAGCGUAGGGGGCUUGUUAAGUCAGUUGUGAAAGUUUGCGGCUCAACCGGAAAAUUGCAGUUGAAACUGGCAGUCUUGCGUACAGUCGAGGUGGGCGGCAUUCGUGGUGUAGCGGUGA
rnacentral:rRNA from 1 species